rnacentral:rRNA from 1 species
UGGCAUGCUUUACCAUGCAAGUCGAGCGGCAGCGCGGGGGCAACCCUGGCGGCGAGCGGCGAACGGGUGAGUAAUGCAUCGGAACGUGUCCGGGAGUGGGGGAUAACCCGCCGAAAGGCGGGCUAAUACCGCAUAUGCUCUUUGGAGGAAAGGGGGGGACCGCAAGGCCUCCCGCUUUCGGAGCGGCCGAUGUCCGAUUAGCUAGUUGGUGGGGUAAUGGCUUACCAAGGCGACGAUCGGUAGCUGGUCUGAGAGGAUGAUCAGCCACACUGGGACUGAGACACGGCCCAGACCCCUACGGGAGGCAGCAGUGGGGAAUUUUGGACAAUGGGGGCAACCCUGAUCCAGCCAUGCCGCGUGCGGGAAGAAGGCCUUCGGGUUGUAAACCGCUUUUAGCCGGGAAGAAAAGGCAGGGGCUAACACUCUCUGUUCUUGACGGUACCGGCGGAAUAAGCACCGGCUAACUACGUGCCAGCAGCCGCGGUAAUACGUAGGGUGCGAGCGUUAAUCGGAAUUACUGGGCGUAAAGCGUGCGCAGGCGGUUCGUUAAGUCUGAUGUGAAAGCCCCGGGCUCAACCUGGGAAUGGCAUUGGAUACUGGCGGGCUUGAGUGUGGCAGAGGGGGGUGGAAUUCCGCGUGUAGCAGUGAAAUGCGUAGAGAUGCGGAGGAACACCGAUGGCGAAAGCAGCCCCCUGGGCUGACACUGACGCUCAGGCACGAAAGCGUGGGGAGCAAACAGGAUUAGAUACCCUGAUAGUCCACGCCCUAAACGAUGAUCACUGGGUGUUCGGGGAGCGAUCUCUGGGUACCGUAGCUAACGCGUGAAGUGAUCCGCCUGGGGAGUACGGUCGCAAGAUUAAAACUCAAGGAAUUUGACGGGGACCCGCACWAGCGGUGGAUGAUGUGGAUUUAAUUUCGAUGCAACGCGAACAAC